GCCAGACUCCUACGGGAGGCAGCAGUGGGGGAUAUUGCACAAUGGGGGGAACCCUGAUGCAGCGACGCCGCGUGAGCGAUGAAGUAUUUCGGUAUGUAAAGCUCUAUCAGCAGGGAGGAAAAUGACGGUACCUGACUAAGAAGCCCCGGCUAACUACGUGCCAGCAGCCGCGGUAAUACGUAGGGGGCAAGCGUUAUCCGGAUUUACUGGGUGUGAAGGGAGCGUAGACGGCAUGGCAAGUCAGAUGUGAAAGCCCGGGGCUCAACCCCGGGACUGCAUUUGAAACUGUCAGGCUGGAGUGCAGGAGAGGUAAGUGGAAUUCCUAGUGUAGCGGUGAAAUGCGUAGAUAUUAGGAGGAACACCAGUGGCGAAGGCGGCCUGCUGGACUGCAACUGACGUUGAGGCCCGAAAGCGUGGGGAGCAAACAGGAUUAGAUACCCCAGUA
rnacentral:rRNA from 1 species